CACAUUUACAGCAUUCCAUUAGUUACAACAACUGUAAAAUGGCCAAUUCAAAGUAUACAUUUUACACACAUGGGGCUCAGGAGCAAAUGUGCACUGGAUACCUUUACAAAUCUCCCCCAGAGAAUCAGUUAAGACACAGAAAUCAUGGAUGCGGAAGUAUUUCGUGCUUCUAAAGUACAGUCACCACACAUGCAAGCUUAAAUGCUUUAAAAGUGAAGUCAAGAACAAGCCACUGGGAGUCAUAGAUUUGUCUGGGUAUGAAUGCUAAAUAAUUGCAAAUGAAUAAUUAAAUGUUUGUACAUUCUGUGGGGCUGCAGAGAGAGAACAGUUUUUUUUCUAUCUGCAUUCGAUGUGGAAAUGGAUUCACAAAUAUUUGAGAUGUUCUCCUUCUUGUGUACUGUUUAUUAAAGUA